GUGCCCUGCCCCCGCGAGCAGCUCCUGCGAGCGGCCACCCCGGCUCCGGCUCCGGAGCUGACUAUGCCGGUUCCCCGCUGCCAUAGGCACCCCCAGCCCGCGCGGGGGGGUGGGGCGCGCUGCGCUGAGCUGAGCUGCAGGGUUCCCCCUCCCCGUUCCUCCCCCUCGGGGCUCCCCGGGGCGCGGCGGGCCUGGGGCGCGCGGGUUGCCCGGCGACCGCGCCGUUGCCAGUGGAGACGCACACGCACACGCCCCCCCCCCCCCCGGGGCGGCCGAACCCAGGCGGCGGCCCCGGUGUCUGUGCGCUGGGCGCCGGCGGGCGGGGGCUGCAAGGAGAGACCUCCUGGGACUCCUCGAACCUUCCCGGCCCCCAGCGGCCUCUCGCCCUCACCCCACAGUCGGGGGCCCGGAGAAGGCGGGCCGCCCACCCUGGCCCCUCCCGCGGGGCGCAGACCCCUCCCCACGGCCACCUCCUUGAGCGAGCGCAGGAGAGGAGAAGGCGGUGGUGACUCCGCGCUUCCCGGCCGGCUGCCCUCCUCCCUGGCUGUUUGCCUCCAGGGAUCCCAGGAAGGCUGGAUGGCUCACCUUUUCCACCUGAUCCGGGUGUCUCCGUCCAGUAAUCAUCUCCCACGUCAGCAAAUGAAGAGUCCCUGUCAGAAAGGCUGUCCUGGGAGCAUUCUGUCGGGUUCUGGAAGAGGAGCGGUAGACCCAUCCCGAGCGUGGGCUUCCUGUAGGCAGGGCACCUCCUGCUGGAGAGGCGACAGCCCAGUCUGUGCACGGCUGCGUGUGGUGAGAAGACCAGAAGGAAAUACACCAAAACGUUAGCAGUGGCUCUGUCUGGGUGAAGGAAUCAGAGAAGGCUUUAUUUUUCAUGCAAAAACAGCCAGGGGGCAGGAUCCGUCUAGAGUUGGGGGUGAUGCCGAGGCCCCACAGCCGAGCCCCUGGACC
rnacentral:lncRNA from 1 species